UUUGUAGUUCCAGGAUUUCCAUUGUUUCUUUUUUCUACUUCUCAUGUCUCAGCUGAGAACCACUAUCUGUUCAUUCAUUAAACCAUCUUUUCCUUUAAGUUCAUACACAUAUUUCUAAUAGUGUCUUUAAAGCCCUUGUCUGUGAAUUCCAUCUUGGAACCUGUUUUGGUGACGGCUUUUUCUCUUGACUAUGGGUUCAUUCACAUGUCUAGUAUUUUUUUUAUACUGGAUGCUACAGAUGUAUUAUAGAAUCUCUGGAUUCUAUUAUUUUACUCUCAAGAGUAUUACUUUUUGUUCUAGCAUUCCACUGAAUUACCGAUGAAUUACUUUAAACUUACAAAGGCAUUGUUUACACACUGUGGUAGGUCUGUUUCAAAUUUUGCCCUUCUUGCAAGGUAAGUCCUUAGU
rnacentral:lncRNA from 1 species